GACGAACGCUGGCGGCGUGCUUAACACAUGCAAGUCGAACGGAGAGGCCCUGCUUUUGUGGGGUGCUCGAGUGGCGAACGGGUGAGUAACACGUGAGUAACCUGCCCUUGACUUUGGGAUAACUUCAGGAAACUGGGGCUAAUACCGGAUAGGAGCUCCUGCUGCAUGGUGGGGGUUGGAAAGUUUCGGCGGUUGGGGAUGGACUCGCGGCUUAUCAGCUUGUUGGUGGGGUAGUGGCUUACCAAGGCUUUGACGGGUAGCCGGCCUGAGAGGGUGACCGGCCACAUUGGGACUGAGAUACGGCCCAGACUCCUACGGGAGGCAGCAGUGGGGAAUAUUGCACAAUGGGCGGAAGCCUGAUGCAGCAACGCCGCGUACGGGAUGACGGCCUUCGGGUUGUAAACCGCUUUCGCCUGUGACGAAGCGUGAGUGACGGUAAUGGGUAAAGAAGCACCGGCUAACUACGUG
rnacentral:rRNA from 1 species